rnacentral:rRNA from 1 species
GUGGGGAAUCUUCCACAAUGGACGAAAGUCUGAUGGAGCAACGCCGCGUGAGUGAAGAAGGGUUUCGGCUCGUAAAGCUCUGUUGUCGGGGACGAAUGUGCAGUAUUUGAAUAAAGUACUGUAAUGACGGUACCUGACGAGGAAGCCACGGCUAACUACGUGCCAGCAGCCGCGGUAAUACGUAGGUGGCAAGCGUUGUCCGGAAUUAUUGGGCGUAAAGGGAGCGCAGGCGGGAAGGUAAGUCGGUCUUAAAAGUGCGGGGCUCAACCCCGUGAUGGGAUCGAAACUAUCUUUCUUGAGUGCAGGAGAGGAAAGUGGAAUUCCUAGUGUAGCGGUGAAAUGCGUAGAUAUUAGGAGGAACACCAGUGGCGAAGGCGACUUUCUGGACUGAACCUGACGCUGAGGCGCGAAAGCAUGGGGAGCGAACGGGAUUAGAAACCCGAGUAGUCC